GAUGAGGUCGCUUGUGUCUUGCGUCACAAUUUUACCCAGAAGUACUAGCCUUCUUUUAAGGUUUCUUGAAGCAAAACCUGUGGUAUAUUAUUCGAAAACUCUUUGUGUUUUUAAUUCGCGCAUCACGGAUAAAGGCUGCGACGUGAUUGGUUAUCAUUUCGGUUAAAUUUAUCAUUUUUCAGGAAAUUUGUAUUUCUCCUUCGCAGUUUCUCCGACUGAUCAAUCGACAACACUGUUGCAGACGAAUAAAAGUUGCCCUCGCAGAUUUACAAUAUCAAUAAAGAUAUACAUCAAAACAUAACAAUAAAUAUAAAAAUAUCAAUACAUAGAAAACAUAACAACUUUUAUAGUUAGCAAUCUGGCUUCGUAUACCCUGUAACACGUUACACUGAUCUGGCGAAAUUAUUGGGGGAGGGGAUUAGUAUACCGUUGAAGAGGCAAUUCGAUCGAGGCCAUGACCGUAGCUCAAGCAUUGGCGUUUUUAGUCCUUUAUGGCCAUGUAAACACUUUGGUAUUCAACUACAUAACCGAGUUACUUUUAUUUAUGAACUGUUCUCGAGUGCCGAGAACAACACUUCUCUUGAUUCUACAGUAACACUUCCAAAAGAGGUG